rnacentral:antisense_RNA from 1 species
AGUCAUGGUUACUAUUCCUUUUAAAUAGUAAUUGUGAUUAGCGAUGCGGGCGUGUUGGCGCACACCCGCAUCGCGU